rnacentral:rRNA from 1 species
UAAAAAAAACUGGCGGCAGCCUAACCAUGCAAGUCCAACGGUAACAGGAAGCAGCUUGCUGCUUCGCUGACGAGUGGCGGACGGGUGAGUAAUGUCUGGGAAACUGCCUGAUGGAGGGGGAUAACUACUGGAAACGGUGGCUAAUACCGCAUAACGUCGCAAGACCAAAGAGGGGGACCUUCGGGCCUCUUGCCAUCAGAUGUGCCCAGAUGGGAUUAGCUUGUUGGUGAGGUAACGGCUCACCAAGGCGACGAUCCCUAGCUGGUCUGAGAGGAUGACCGGCCACACUGGAACUGAGACACGGUCCAGACUCCUACGGGAGGCAGCAGUGGGGAAUAUUGCACAAUGGGGGGAACCCUGAUGCAGCCAUGCCGCGUGAAUGAAGAAGGCCUUCGGGUUGUAAAGUUCUUUCGGUGAUGAGGAAGGCAGAUAAGUUAAUAGCUUGUUUGAUUGACGUUAGUCACAGAAGAAGCACCGGCUAACUCCGUGCCAGCAGCCGCGGUAAU